UACGUAGGGGGCGAGCGUUGUCCGGAUUUAUUGGGCGUAAAGAGCGUGUAGGCGGCCAGGUAGGUCUGCUGUGAAAACUCGAGGCUCAACCUCGAGACGUCGGCGGAAACCAUCUGGCUAGAGUCCGGAAGAGGAGAGUGGAAUUCCUGGUGUAGCGGUGAAAUGCGCAGAUAUCAGGAAGAACACCCGUGGCGAAGGCGGCAUUCUGGACCGAUAUUGACGCUGAGGCGCGAAAGCUAGGGGAGCGAACAGG
rnacentral:rRNA from 1 species